AACGCGAAGAACCUUACCUGCCCUUGACAUCCGGAUGACCGGUGGGUAAUGCCGCCCUCUCUUUUUGAGCAUCCGAGACAGGUGGUGCAUGGUUGUCGUCAGCUCGUGUCGUGAGAUGUUGGGUUAAGUCCCGCAACGAGCGCAACCCUUAUCUUUAGUAGCCAGCAUUAAAGGUGGGCACUCUAGAGAGACUGCCAGGGAUAACUUGGAGGAAGGUGGGGAUGACGUCAAAUCAUCAUGCCCCUUAUGGGCAGGGCUACACACGUGCUACAAUGGCGUAAACAAAGGGAAGCGAGACUGCGAAGUUAAGCAAAUCCCAAAAAUAACGUCUCAGUUCGGACUGCAGUCUGCAACUCGACUGCACGAAGCUGGAAUCGCUAGUAAUCGCGAAUCAGAAUGUCGCGGUGAAUACGUUCCCGGGUCUUGUACACACCG
rnacentral:rRNA from 1 species